UCCUCGAUGGUCUAACGGUCAUGAUUUCCGCUUGUCACUCCCAAAAGGAACGAGCGCGGGAGACCUGGGUUCGACUCCCAGUCGGGGAG
rnacentral:tRNA from 1 species